UGUGGAUAUUGUGUGUCGGUCUCAACACUGACGUGUCACUCCAGGAUCAACGGCUUGAAACCUGUUUCCAGGAGACCUGGAGACCUAAUAUGAGGCAACAUUUCUGUAUGAAACCCCAAGUCUCCCCUGGUGUGCCGUGCAGUGGCCUGAAACAUAGCCUCCUGAAACCAAGGUCCAAGCCACGGAGUGUCUGAUUUUUGCAGCGCAGAGGGAGGAGCGGCAGUGAGGUCAAGGAUGAGCCUACGUGCUCUCGUUUACGACAGAAAGAAAAAGAAUCAUUCAUUCCCUUUGCGUGGCCAGCGGCUCGGCUGGUUCCUGCAUUGAUCCAAUGGGUCGUCGUUUUAGGAAGAAUGUGAAGAGAGAAGAAUAUUUAUUUUAUGAAGCAGAGUGCUGUGAAGUCUACUUUCGUGUUUAUUUAAAUCUGUCCAGGAUAUGGUUGUGUUUUUAAUGAAAUGUUCCCUGGCUGGACAGAGUUAGUCGUACAUUCCUAUGGAUAUUGUUGCUGGAGAUGAAAACACAGGAAUUUUUAAGACAUGCAAGUUUGUGCUUUGGAAUCAAAUAAUAAGUUGAUUAAGUUUCAUACAAGCCUUAAUUACAGUUUACCGAUAAUCAUUGAUAAUGACAAUAACAGUUAUAAUUAUAAGAAAUUGAACCACAACU